rnacentral:rRNA from 1 species
AGUCACUGACAUUAGAUACCCGCGUAGUCCAGGGUGUAAACGCUGCAGACUUGGUGUUGGGAACCCUUCGGGGGUGCUCAGUGCCGGAGAGAAGUUGUUAAGUCUGCCGCCUGGGAAGUACGGUCGCAAGGCUGAAACUUAAAGGAAUUGGCGGGGGAGCACCGCAACGGGAGGAGCGUGCGGUUUAAUUGGAUUCAACACCGGAAAACUCACCAGGGGAGACUGUUACAUGAAACCCAGACUAAUGAUCUUGGUUGAUUUUCAG